UACGUAGGGGGCUAGCGUUGUCCGGAAUCAUUGGGCGUAAAGAGCGCGUAGGCGGCCAGAUAAGUCCGGUGUGAAAGUCAAAGGCUCAACCUUUGAAUGCCGCUGGAAACUGUCUGGCUAGAGUCCGGGAGGGGCGAGUGGAAUUCCUGGUGUAGCGGUGAAAUGCGCAGAUAUCGGAAGGAACAUCAGUGGCGAAAGCGACUUCCUGGACCAGUACCGACGUUCAGGCACGAAAGCGUGGGGAGCAAACAGG
rnacentral:rRNA from 1 species